rnacentral:rRNA from 1 species
AGCGGCGGACGGGUGAGUAACGCGUGGGUAACCUGCCUCAUACAGGGGGAUAACAGUUAGAAAUGACUGCUAAUACCGCAUAAGACCACGGUACCGCAUGGUACAGUGGUAAAAACUCCGGUGGUAUGAGAUGGACCCGCGUCUGAUUAGGUAGUUGGUGGGGUAACGGCCUAUCAAGGCGACGAUCCAUAGCCGGCCUGAGAGGGUGGACGGCCACAUUGGGACUGAGACACGGCCCAG